ACCAGCAGCUACAGUAUAUCACCCUGCAGCUCUCAACUGGCUACCCACAGAAGCUAAGCAGGGUUGAGCCUGCUCAGUACCUUAAUGGGAGACCUCCUGGGAUGCUACGAUUGCUGCUGGAA
rnacentral:rRNA from 1 species